GGGAGUUAGGGGCGAACGGGUGCGCUUGUUACAUGCUGAAACGAACAAGGCUAGCCCGAUCGGAAUUCAGCCUGUGUAUUCUUUAGAGGCAGGGGCUUAGGCAUUCAGAGGGAACAUUGGCUGGAGCGUGAUUCAACCUGUAAACGGUGAUUAAUACCUCGUAUGCUGAGGAGUGAAAGACCGUAAGGUCGCCAAGGGAUGGGCUUGCGUCUGAUUAGCUAGUUGGGUGGGGUAAAGGCCUCCCAAGGCGAUGAUCAGUAGCUGGUCUGAGAGGACAAUCAGCCACACUGGGACUGAGACACGGCCCAGACUCCUACGGGAGGCAGCAGUGAGGAAUUUUCCGCAAUGGGCGAAAGCCUGACGGAGCAAUGCCGCGUGGAGGAGGAAGGCCUGUGGGUCGUAAACUCCUUUUCUCAGAGAAGAAGUUCUGACGGUAUCUGAGGAAUAAGCAUCGGCUAACUCUGUGCCAGCAGCCGCGGUAAUACAGGGGAUGCAAGCGUUAUCCGGAAUUAUUGGGCGUAAAGCGUCCUGAGGUGGCUUACCCAGUCGACUGUGAAAGCUCAAGGCUUAACCUUGAAACGGCAGUCGAAACUUGUAAGCUUGAGUACGGUAGGGGCAGAGGGAAUUCCCGGAGGAGAGGUGAAAUUCGUAGAUAUCGGGGGGAAGCCAAAGGCGAAAGCACUCUGCUGGGCCGGAUACUGACACUGACAGACGAAAGCUAGGGGAGCGAAAGGGAUAGAUACCCUUGUAGUCUAGCGGUAA
rnacentral:rRNA from 1 species